UUUAAGUCAGCGGUGAAAUUUUCAGGCUCAACCUGAACACUGCCGUUGAAACUGGGAUUCUUGAGUAUGGAUGAAGUAGGCGGAAUUCGUUGUGUAGCGGUGACAUGCUUAGAUAUAACGAGGAACUCCGAUUGCGUAGGCAGCUUACUAAGCCAUAACUGACGCUCAAGCACGAAAGCGUGGGGAUCAAACAGGAUUAGAUACCCUGGUAGUCCACGCCGUAAACGAUGAUUACUAGUUGUUUGCGAUAUACCGUAAGUGACUAAGCGAAAGCGAUAAGUAAUCCACCUGGGGAGUACGCCGGCAACGGUGAAACUCAAAGGAAUUGAC
rnacentral:rRNA from 1 species